ensembl:lncRNA
AUGGGGCCCAACCAAGCUGGGAACCGGGCCCUUUCCGGUGACUCCAGGGAAUUCAGGUGCAAGAUGAUGCCCUGGACUUUGGGCCGCAAACCAGGCAUCCUUAAGUGCAGCUUGAUGCGGUUAGAGGUAACAAGCCUCCCUUUCUCGCCUGACCCUCAAGGCCAUCCAACCACCUUUGAGGAGGGAGACGGGAUGAAUUCUAAGACAGGAGAGCUGAUUUCUAAAGGAGGCCAUCAAACCACCUUUGAGGAAGGAGACGGGAUGAAUUCCAAGACAGGAGAGCUGAUUUCUAAAGGAGGCCAUCAAACCACCUUUGAGCUGAUUGCUAAAGGAGGCCAUCAAACCACCUUUGAGGAAGGAGACGGGAUGAAUUCUAAGACAGGAGAGCUGAUUUCUAAAGGAGGCCAUCAAACCACCUUUGAGCUGAUUUCUAAAGGAGGCCAUCAAACCACCUUUGAGCUGAUUUCUAAAGGAGGCCAUCAAACCACCUUUGAGCUGAUUGCUAAAGGAGGCCAUCAAACCACCUUUGAGGAAGGAGACGGGAUGAAUUCUAAGACAGGAGAGCUGAUUUCUAAAGGAGGCCAUCAAACCACCUUUGAGGAAGGAGACGGGAUGAAUUCUAAGACAGGAGAGCUGAUUGCUAAAGGAGGCCAUCAAACCACCUUUGAGGAAGGAGACGGGAUGAAUUCUAAGACAGGAGAGCUGAUUUCUAAAGGAGGCCAUCAAACCACCUUUGAGCUGAUUUCUAAAGGAGGCCAUCAAACCACCUUUGAGCUGAUUUCUAAAGGAGGCCAUCAAACCACCUUUGAGCUGAUUUCUAAAGGAGGCCAUCAAACCACCUUUGAGGAAGGAGACGGGAUGAAUUCUAAGACAGGAGAGCUGAUUUCUAAAGGAGGCCAUCAAACCACCUUUGAGCUGAUUUCUAAAGGAGGCCAUCAAACCACCUUUGAGCUGAUUUCUAAAGGAGGCCAUCAAACCACCUUUGAGGAAGGAGACGGGAUGAAUUCUAAGACAGGAGAGCUGAUUUCUAAAGGAGGCCAUCAAACCACCUUUGAGCUGAUUUCUGAAGGAGGCCGUCAAACCACCUUUGAGGAAGGAGACGGGGUGAAUUCUAAGGCAGGAGAGCUGAUUUCUAAAGGAGGCCAUCAAACCACCUUUGAGCUGAUUUCUGAAGGAGGCCGUCAAACCACCUUUGAGGAAGGAGACGGGGUGAAUUCUAAGGCAGGAGAGCUGAUUUCUAAAGGAGGCCAUCAAACCACCUUUGAGCUGAUUUCUAAAGGAGGCCAUCAAACCGUCUUUGAGGAAGGAGACGGGGUGAAUUCUAAGGCAGGAGAGCUGAUUUCUCAACUUCCUCCCUCACCCACCAGCUGA